rnacentral:ribozyme from 1 species
AAUCGACUAGGCGAUUUAAAACAGGUGUUAAGCCUAGUGCGGUAAGAGGUAUCCCCUCUUACGUCACG